GGUUAAACGUUGAAUAGAAAGAAGAAGACGAAGUUCAAGGACCUUUCGUACUCGGUGCAUCGGAAAAUGAGGAUAGUGAGAACUGGCUCAGCUGCUUGAGCCGGCUAAUGUUCUUGAGAUUGCUAAGUGCUCAAUUAAUUAUUUCUCAAGAUGUGGAUGCUCUAAAGAACAACUGGUGGAAACAAGGUUUGGUUCCUUUAUCCAAACAAGAAUGUCAUGACUGAAUCUGUUGAAGAUAUUAUUGGUUGCUCCAAUAAUCUAUGGAGCCAAGCAUUAUGGAUACAGUUGAUGCAUAAAGGAUAUUAAAGAUAGCUGGGUAUGAGUUUUAUUUAUCAAGGCAUACAUUUGGAUGCAUUCAAAGUUGCUUUCAAGAUUGGAGUAUUAGUUUUACAUUAGACCUUGUAAGGGGGAGAUUAUAUAUUACAGAUGUUCAAGUACGCUUGUUAUUCAGAUAUUUUUUGUUGUUUUCAA